AGAAACCCUAGAAGCUGCUCCUCCGAGUAUCUCUGUCUUCACUAGUGCUUUAUGCGUUUUCCUUGCCUCACGCCUGUGGGCCACACUCAUUACCGGUUGGAUAAGCGGGCUAGUUCUCACUUGGUUGGCAUCCGGGUGUCUGGCUGCUCUGCAGGAGUCCCUGCUCAGCGGGCUCGCACCUCUACUCCGAGCUGCACCUGGGGCUGCACGGACUCCGGCCACACGGAGCUGAGAGCGCGGAAGUGGCGGCAUCAGUGUCAGCUGCUGCUGGGUUGGCUCCCCAAGGUGAGUCGCGCACCCCGCGCUCCGCCGCGUCUUCUCCCGGUCAGCGCUGACCGCCUCGCGACUAGGCGGUGUAGCGGUGCGCCUCCUGGGGCACCCAAGUG
rnacentral:lncRNA from 1 species